CUUUUAUCUGUUCUUCAGAGACUGUCUGUAGAUGGAAAAGGGACUACAUCAAGCUGAUUCAGUUCUACAAGUUCAAAUCUGGGACUCGUGAGUCGUACAUGGAGAGUGAAACAGAAAUUGGGGACUCUGCUGAACAUGGAGAUAAAACACCGGAUUGGGAGAAGAUGGCAAGAAUCUGAUUCAGAUUUCCAGUCUACCCUUAAAGAGGUUGACCGUGAG